rnacentral:rRNA from 1 species
CCUACGGGAGGCAGCAGUGAGGAAUAUUUGUCAAUGGACGCAAGUCUGAACCAGCCAUGCCGCGUGCAGGAAGACGGCUCUAUGAGUUGUAAAUUGCUUUUGUACGAGGGUAAACGCAGAUACGCGUAUCUGUCUGAAAGUAUCGUACGAAUAAGGAUCGGCGAACUCCGGGCCAGCCGCCGCGGUAAUACGGAGGAUUCAAGCGUUAUCAGGAUUUUUUGGGUUUAAAGGGUGCGUAGGCGGUCGGAUAAGUUAGAGGUGAAAUCCCGAGGCCCAACUUCGGAAUUGCCUCUGAUACUGUUCGGCUAGAGAGUAGUUGCGGUAGGCGGAAUGUAUGGUGUAGCGGUGAAAUGCUUAGAGAUCAUACAGAACACCGAUUGCGAAGGCAGCUUACCAAGCUACUUCUGACGUUGAGGCACGAAAGCGUAGGGAGCAAACAGGAUUAGAUACCCUAGUAGUC